rnacentral:rRNA from 1 species
GACGAACGCUGGCGGCGUGCCUAAUACAUGCAAGUCGAGCGCAGGAAAUCGACGGAACCCUUCGGGGGGAAGUCGACGGAAUGAGCGGCGGACGGGUGAGUAACACGUAAAGAACCUGCCCUCAGGUCUGGGAUAACCACGAGAAAUCGGGGCUAAUACCGGAUGGGUCAUCGGACCGCAUGGUCCGAGGAUGAAAGGCGCUUCGGCGUCGCCUGGGGAUGGCUUUGCGGUGCAUUAGCUAGUUGGUGGGGUAAUGGCCCACCAAGGCGACGAAGCAUAGCCGACCCGAGAGGGUGAUCGGCCACACUGGGACUGAGACACGGCCCAGACUCCUACGGGAGGCAGCAGUAGGGAAUCUUCCACAAUGGACGAAAGUCUGACGGAGCAACGCCGCGUGAACGAUGAAGGCCUUCGGGUCGUAAAGUUCUGUUGUAAGGGAAGAACAAGUGCCGCAGGCAAUGGCGGCACCUUGACGGUACCUUGCGAGAAAGCCACGGCUAACUACGUGCCUGCAGCCGCCGCGG